UUUCUUCUUUGCAACUUCAACUAUAAUAAUUUAUAUCUGAACUGGGAAAGUGAUGGAGAAAGUGGCUUUGCUGUAAAAGCAAUAGAAACAAUUUCCGAUUUCUCUCUCAUCCAAAAGGUUGGUUUACCAGAAAGGAACACAGUGUUCGAAUGAAAAGCCAAUGCAAAUGGAAUCCAUGACGUUUCCUUUUAAUUUUAAUAUUCCAAUCAUAAUAUUGAUGAAUAUAUUUGCUCAAUCAUUUGAUCUCAACAUCAUUUGAGCACUGAAAAAAUAUUCUUAAAAUUUUUAAUCAUGCCACUCCUUUUUUCUUUUAUUGUUUUUAAAGUUCAACACAAUAUUUGAACUCUUAAAGAUUACAACUUUUAAUCACUUAAUCGGCUAAAGACAUAUAAUUAUUUAUGUAAUUGAUUUAUAUAUACCCACUUAAAUAGAAUUCAUUGUUUUCUUCCA